rnacentral:rRNA from 1 species
GAUGAACGCUAGCGGCAGGCUUAAUACAUGCAAGUCGAGGGGCAGCAGGGGUAGCAAUACUCGCUGGCGACCGGCAAACGGGUGCGGAACACGUACAGAACCUUCCUUUAAGCGGGGGAGUAGCCCGAACGAAAUUACGGUAUUAAUUACCCCACUAGUAUUUGUUUUGGUUGGCAUCAUUAGUACAAUUAAAGUAAUUUAUUCACUUAGUAGAUGGCGUG